CUUCCGCCGGCGACCGGCGCACGGGUGUGUAACACGUAUGCAACCUGCCCCUGUCAGGGGGACAACCCGCCGAAAGGCGGGCUAAACCCGCGUACAUGCCACCGGGGCAUCCCGGAGGCAGGAAAGGCUUCGGCCGGACAGGGAUGGGCAUGCGGCGCAUUAGGCAGUAGGCGGGGUAACGGCCCACCUAACCGACGAUGCGUAGGGGUUCUGAGAGGAAGGUCCCCCACACUGGUACUGAGACACGGACCAGACUCCUACGGAAGGCAGCAG
rnacentral:rRNA from 1 species